ensembl:lncRNA novel transcript
CUGUCCCAGUACCCCUUGGCCCACCUGCCACGGCUACCUAUAUAAGAGGACUCACUCCGGGAUCGUGAAGGGUUGGAGAAAGAGGUGGUUUGUGCUGAAGUAUGAUGGAUGCCUCUACUAUUACAAACAUAACAAGAUUUUUCCAGUAGGCUAUAAUGCCUAACAUUAGCAACAGCAGCAGCAGUUAUAGCAGCAGAGCCUUUGGAAAAGGUGUUCCAGAAACCUGACAACGUUUGCACAAAGACUGUUAAACCACUAUUCACACUUCUUUAAGUGUUUUAACCAAAAUGUCAGAGGCUUCAUUAGGGUGGAAACUAUUUUAUGGUUCCCUAGUACAUAAAUUUUUUUCUUGGAAUUAC